rnacentral:lncRNA from 10 species
ACCUGUAAUCCCAGCUACUCAGAAGGCUGAGGCAGGAGAAUUGCUUAAAAGAGCAAAAUCGAGCCACCACCACGGAUGAGCUCGACCUUGAAUUAUCAUGGAGGAGUUAAAAGAUAGGCGUGCUUUAGAGAGUCGUGGGGACCUCUCCUGAAGGGCGAGUUUUGCUUGGCUUCUCUAUAUCACUAAUAGCUUUUAAAACAUCAGUCACCUUCAAGGCCCAAGUCCAUAGGAAACUGUCUUCGGGGAGAAUAGCUAAAACUAAAAUCUAAGUUUCUGGGCAGCCAAACUAUUAAUAGAUGCCAUAAAGUCUAUGCAUACCCCCGACCACACCGUUUUGAGAUGGUUUUAGAAAGUGAGGGCCAAGUGUGUGGUCCACCCUGGCUAGGACUCAGAG